GAGUUGUAUGAAAGAAGAAGGGUUUAGUGCUUCCCUUCACAAGGAUGGAAGAGGCCUCAGGCUUACAACAUCAGUACAGGUAAGCCACUGCCUGUUUCUAAAUAUCUUUUAGUUUUUUUUUUUU